rnacentral:rRNA from 1 species
GACGAACGCUGGCGGCGUGCUUAACACAUGCAAGUCGAACGGAAAGGCCCUGCUUGUGUGGGGUGCUCGAGUGGCGAACGGGUGAGUAACACGUGAGUAACCUGCCCUUGACUUUGGGAUAACUUCAGGAAACUGGGGCUAAUACCGGAUAGGAGCUCCUGCGGCAUGGUGGGGGUUGGAAAGUUUCGGCGGUUGGGGAUGGACUCGCGGCUUAUCAGCUUGUUGGUGGGGUAGUGGCUUACCAAGGCUUUGACGGGUAGCCGGCCUGAGAGGGUGACCGGCAACAUUGGGACUGAGAUACGGCCCAGACUCCUACGGGAGGAAGCAGUGGGGAAUAUUGCACAAUGGGCGGAAGCCUGAUGCAGCAACGCCGCGUGCGGGAUGACGGCCUUCGGGUUGUAACCCGCUUUCGCCUGUGACGAAGCGUGAGUGACGGUAAUGGGUAAAGAAGCACCGGCUAACUACGUG